rnacentral:tRNA from 1 species
GGGGUUGUGGCUCAGUGGUAGAGCACUUGCCUAGCAUGUGCAAGGACCUGGGUUUGAUCCUCAGUACCACA